rnacentral:rRNA from 1 species
UACGUAGGGUGCGAGCGUUAAUCGGAUUUACUGGGCGUAAAGCGCACGUAGGCGGUGCGGUAAGUCAGGGGUUAAAGGCUGCAGCUCAACUGCAGUAAGGCCUUUGAUACUAUCGUGCUAGAGUGUCAGAGAGGAUGGCGGAAUUCCCGGUGUAGCGGUGAAAUGCGUAGAUAUAGGGAGGAACACCGGUUGCGAAGGCGGCUACCUGGCUGGUAACUGACGCUGAGGUGCGAGAGCGUGGGGAGCAAACAGG